CUCCAUUACAAGAAGUGUGCUCUUCCAGAACUCUUUUUGAACUAGUAUAAAGGCAUCGUAGGUACCUGGAGGUUUCUUUGAAAUGUGGACUACUUAAAAUACAUAUACCGAAAGGCUGCUGUCAGGUCUUCCCAGAGCCUUCUCUUUUUCCAGGCUGAACAACCCCAGCUCUCUCAGUCUGUCCUUGUACGAGAAUUGUUCCAUCCCUUGGGUCAUUUUUGCAGUCUUCGUCUGGAAGCGUUCCAACAGAUCCACAUUUCUCCUGUACUGAGGACUCCACAGCUGACAUGGUAGUUCAGCUAGAGACAAGGAAAAUGGCAUACAUCCCAAGCAGUGAUGGGAGAAUCUCUGAAGAAACCUUUAUGAAGUCACGAUGCCAGAUCCCAAACUAGGACGUAAACAGAUGUGUGGAGAUGGCCUCACAUUUAAUGGAUGGUGCUGUUGCAGCGCAGAUCAGAUCAGCACAAUUCACUCCAACUCACUCUUGCAGGUUCCCAAAAUUACAAGCCCAGCACUGCCUGGUGCUUUGAGAAAAACUCAGCGAGAAACUGAGUAUGAAGCCAGCUCAUGCUACGGCAGUCUUGCUCACCAAGCAGCAGUGUUAUAAGUACAUUAGCAUUUAGCAAAAUUGUACAAAGCCACGGUCCUGCCUCGAGGAGCUCAUGGCAUCACCAUACAGACAGAGGGACGAGAACAGGAAGCCACAUUAAAAGCAAAAUAAUUAAG
ensembl:lncRNA